GACGGAGGGUGCUAGCGUUGUUCGGAAUGACUGGGCGUAAAGGGCGCGUAGGCGGCUCGUGAAGUCGGGUGUGAAAGCCCGGGGCUCAACCCCGGAAUGGCAUCCGAUACUGGCGGGCUUGAGACCGGGAGAGGAGGGUGGAAUACCCAGUGUAGAGGUGAAAUUCGUAGAUAUUGGGUGGAACACCGGUGGCGAAAGCGGCUCUCUGGCCCGGAUCUGACGCUGAGGCGCGAAAGCGUGGGGAGCAAACAGG
rnacentral:rRNA from 1 species